UACGAAGGGGGCUAGCGUUGUUCGGAAUCACUGGGCGUAAAGCGCACGUAGGCGGAUGUGCCAGUCAGGGGUGAAAUCCCGGAGCUCAACUCCGGAACUGCCUCUGAUACAGCACGUCUUGAGUUCGAGAGAGGUGGGUGGAAUUCCUAGUGUAGAGGUGAAAUUCGUAGAUAUUAGGAAGAACACCGGUGGCGAAGGCGGCCCACUGGCUCGAUACUGACGCUGAGGUACGAAAGCGUGGGGAGCAAACAGG
rnacentral:rRNA from 1 species